rnacentral:rRNA from 1 species
AGAGCGAACGCUGGCGGCAGGCCUAACACAUGCAAGUCGAACGGACUCUUCGGAGUUAGUGGCGGACGGGUGAGUAACACGUGGGAACGUGCCUUUAGGUUCGGAAUAGCUCCUGGAAACGGGUGGUAAUGCCGAAUGUGCCCUUCGGGGGAAAGAUUUAUCGCCUUUAGAGCGGCCCGCGUCUGAUUAGCUAGUUGGUGAGGUAAAGGCUCACCAAGGCUACGAUCAGUAGCUGGUCUGAGAGGAUGACCAGCCACAUUGGGACUGAGACACGGCCCAAACUCCUACGGGAGGCAGCAGUGGGGAAUCUUGCGCAAUGGGCGAAAGCCUGACGCAGCCAUGCCGCGUGAAUGAUGAAGGUCUUAGGAUGUAAAAUUCUUUCAGUAGGGACGAUAAUGACGGUACCUACAGAAGAAGCCCCGACUAACUUCGUGCCAGCAGCCGC